GCGAAACUGCGAAUGGCUCAUUAUAUAAGUUAUCGUUUAUUUGAUAGCACCUUACUACUUGGAUAACCGUGGUAAUUCUAGAGCUAAUACAUGCUAAAAAUCCCGACUUCGGAAGGGAUGUAUUUAUUAGAUUAAAGACCAAUGCCUUUCGGCUUUUUGGUGAUUCAUGAUAACUUCUCGAAUCGCAUGGCCUUGCGCCGGCGAUGGUUCAUUCAAAUUUCUUCCCUAUCAACUUUCGAUGCGAAGGUCUUGUCUUCGCAUGGUUACAACGGGUAACGGAGGGUUAGGGCUCGACCCCGGAGAGGGAGCCUGAGAAAUGGCUACCACUUUUAAGGAAGGCAGCAGGCGCGCAAAUUACCCAAUCCCGACACGGGGAGGUAGUGACAAUAAAUACUGAUACAGGGCUCUUAUGGGUCUUGUAAUCGGAAUGAGUACAAUUUAAAUCCCUUAACGAGGAACAAUUGGAGGGCAAGUCUGGUGCCAGCAGCCGCGGUAAUUCCAGCUCCAAUAGCGUAUAUUAAAGUUGUUGUGGUUAAAAAGCUCGUAGUUGAACCUUGGGCCUGGCUGGCCGGUCCCCCUCACCGGGCGCACUGGUCCGGCCGGGUCUUUCCCUCUAUGGAACCUCAUGCUCUUUACUGAGUGUGACGGGGAAAUAGGACUUUUACUUUGAAAAAAUUAGAGUGCUCCAGGCAGGCUUAUGCUCGAAUAGUACAGCAUGGAAUAAUAGAAUAGGACGUGUGGUUCUAUUUUGUUGGUUUCUAGGACCGCCGUAAUGAUUAAUAGGGACAGUCGGGGGCAUCAGUAUUCAGCUGUCAGAGGUGAAAUUCUUGGAUCUGCUGAAGACUAACUACUGCGAAAGCAUUUGCCAAGGAUGUUUUCAUUGAUAAGGAACGAAAGUUAGGGGAUCGAAGACGAUCAGAUACCGUCGUAGUCUUAACCAUAAACUAUGCCGACUAGGGAUCGGACGAUGUUAUUUUUUUGACUCGUUCGGCACCUUUCGAGAAAUCAAA
rnacentral:rRNA from 1 species